GAAACAGAUGGCCCCCUGAUUUUUUGAUAUGUUACAUGGAAUGGGAACCUGGACUACCUCUUGCACAAAGCUGCUGAGGAAAAGCAUACGACUUAGAGAUGCUUCCAAGUUUUCAUACGGACUGAACAGGAUUCGGUGCAGAACCCACAGAUGUGGAUUUACCAGAGGGCUCACAGAAGGUGAUUCCAGCAGAUGCCAGCUAUGAGCCUCCUGCUAUUGUAAGGCCGUACAGCCAAGGAGUGCUGAGUCAGCUGCACGACAGAGGAGUCCAGAGAAGCAAAGUGGGAUCAGAUGUGAAAAGUUUGGGUGUAACCCAUUGUGCUGCCCUUUGCUGACAGCCUCAAGACCCUGUGCCUACCUUCAGGCUGUACAGAGACCCAGCAUUUAUUGUGGUACACCACCGAUACUUUGAAACAGCGGCCCCAUUUUAUUAAGGGCUGCGCAUGACAUCAGUCCUUUUGAGACAGAAAAUCUCCAGUACUUCUGCUCGGACACGCUCCUUCCACUUCGACAAACAAAAUGCUUUAACACAGAAGCAGGAACGGCAAGGAAGUGAAGAUUAAACCCACCAGUGGCUAUUGAAACACGACAGCCAGGUACACCGUGAACUAAGCCGUUCCAUUUGGAACAGGCUGCCCAGGGAGGCGGUAGAGGCACCGUCCCCGGAGCUGCUGGAGAGCCAUGGAGAUGUGGCGCUCGGGGUCUGUUUGCGCUCCCAAGCCCAGACCUUCCCCGCAGGUGUCACCCCCCGCCUGCAGUCCCGCUGGCAGCGCUGCCACCACUCCCAUCCUCCUUGCGACACUUCACUGGCGUGAGUUACACGCAAAGAGAUCUAACUACCGUUGAAUAGAGUCUCUCGGGAUGCGGCUGCGGUUCUUCCUGCAACCCGAUGGGGACAGUGGAGGCUGCAGCGCGCGUCCUGCAGAAACAACCCACGGCUUCGAGAAAAGCGACCUCAGAGCCGCCGGCUCUAACUGAGCUACAGUUCGGCACUGGCAAGGCGCCGGGUCGCGGCGCCGGGUCUAACUUUGUGCGGUCCACAAACUGGAAUCAGAGCAGCACCUCGAAACGCCUCCGACUCAUUCGCUCCCGCUGCGCGCGGCGGCUGCCCCGAAGCCGCCCCUUCU
ensembl:lncRNA